rnacentral:rRNA from 1 species
CAGUCGCCGCGGUAAUACGAAGGGUGCAAGCGUUAAUCGGAAUUACUGGGCGUAAAGCGUGCGUAGGCGGUGAGUUAAGUCUGCUGUGAAAUCCCCGGGCUCAACCUGGGAAUGGCAGUGGAUACUGGCUCGCUAGAGUGUGUCAGAGGAUGGUGGAAUUCCCGGUGUAGCGGUGAAAUGCGUAGAUAUCGGAAGGAACACCAGUGGCGAAGGCGGCUACCUGGCUUGACACUGACACUGAGGCGCGAAAGCGUGGGGAGCAAACAGGAUUAGAUACCCCUGUAGUCCCUGUCUCUUAUAA